UAAGGAAUAUUGGUCAAUGGACGCAAGUCUGAACCAGCCAUGCCGCGUGGAGGAUGAAGGCCCUCUGGGUUGUAAAACUUCUUUUAUAUGGGACGAAACCCUCUCAUUCUUGAGAGACUGACGGUACCAUAGGAAUAAGCACCGGCUAACUCCGUGCCAGCAGCCGCGGUAAUACGGAGGGUGCAAGCGUUAUCCGGAUUCACUGGGUUUAAAGGGUGCGUAGGAGGGCAGGUAAGUCGGUGGUGAAAUCCCCGAGCUUAACUUGGGAACUGCCGUUGAUACUAUCUGUCUUGAAUAUUGUGGAGGUGAGCGGAAUAUGUCAUGUAGCGGUGAAAUGCUUAGAUAUGACAUAGAACACCAAUUGCGAAGGCAGCUCGCUACACAAAAUUAUUGACUCUGAGGCACGAAAAGCGUGGGGAUCAAACAGGAUUAGAUACCCUGGUAGUCCACGCCCUAAAACGAUGGAUACUCGACAUACGCGAUACACAGUGUGUGUCUGAGCGAAAAGCUUAAGUAUCCCACCUGGGAAGUACGACCGCAAGGUUGAAACUCAAAUGAAUUGACGGGGUCAUAGCUGUUUCCUG
rnacentral:rRNA from 1 species